GCUGUGGCUUGCCUUUUCACUUCUUGUGUCCUGUUUAAGAAAUAUCUGCUAUCCCAAGCAUCUGGCAUCUUUCUUGACAUACGUAGCAGUUGCUUUUUGACAGCUUGCUUCUGGAGUGAAUGAAUAAAUUAAUAAAUUUAUUCAUUUGAUAUUCAGUGACAUGUGAUAUUCAGUGAUCCAUUUUGCAGAUUGCAAACUCCUAGAGAAGGGCUCAACAGUGAGUGUUGAGGCUGCACAGAGGAGGAAGGUAGCACAAUGAUGGAAGGCUUCCUAAAGAGAUUGAGCCUCGUAUUUCAUAUCUGCCCCUGGCCUAAUGUUUGCUUACAGAAUGAGCUCAAUGAAUAUUGUUAAAUAACACUAACAAAGUUGACCUUAGAAUUGGAGUGCCCGGGUUAGAACCUUGCUGGUACCACCUGCUUACUGCAUGCUUCUGAUGUGAGUUCAGGAGAAGCCACUGGCAAGGACAGCAAAGAACAGGAGAACACUCUAGCUUCCCUGAUAGCAUUCAAGGUGCUGUCCAAAGCUGAAAAAGUUUUGGAAGCCCUCCUAAGCAGCUGCCAGACCCUUUUUUGGCCAGAGACAGGAUCUUACUCUGUUGCCCAGGCUGGAGUGCAAUAAUGUCACCAUGGCUGACUGUAACCUGGAACUGCUGGGCUCAAGGGAUCCUUCCAGCUCAGCCUCCCAAGUAGCUAGGAGUACAGGCACAUGCCAUCAUGCCUAGCUUUUUUUUUUUUUUUUUAAUUUUUGGAGAGAUAAGAUCUCAUCAUGUUGCUCAGGCUGGUCUCAAACUCUUGGACUCAAGUGAUCCUCCCGCAUCAGCCUCUCAAAGUGCUGGGAUUGCAGGUGUUAGCCACUGCACUUGGCCUGACCCCAAUAUUCUUUGGGAUCUGGAGUUUGCUGUUGAAUGGGAAGGCGAGAUGAAAUUCCAUGUAGUCAGACUCUUAUGCUGCUGUUCUAAGCAGGGUUGGGCCCGAUUAGUAGGUUAUAGACGAUGUUUUUCUGUGGUGCUAUCUGGACCUAGUGCUCUUUGGCAUCUGGGAAGGUGUGGCCUUUAAAAGGCAAAUUGCCAUGAGAACUGCUUUACCCCAAAUUUUGGUUCACAGCCUUCAUUGUAUUACGUAUUGGGGCAAAAAUAGUUUAGCCAGGUGAACCUGUUUCUAAACUGGUGAGUUUGUAUUGCUAUGUCAUAGCUAAAGUUCUGAGGUAAACACUAUUGGAUCUUUGUGUCUGUGUGUGUAUACAUAUUUAGAUGUGUUUAUGUGUAUGUACAUUUAUUAUAUGUUGUGUCUCCAAGUUUGCUUAUAAGCAAAAGAAUGCUUGUAAAUUAAGUAAAUAAGUUCAAUAAUUUUUUAAAUUCACAUGAUUAAGUAAAUUGUUAAUUUUAAAAACCGGCUUUAAAAUUAAUGGUAAGGUAAAAAUAGAAAUGUCUUUGGAAUGGCCAGCAUACCUUUCUGUCUGGGUUUUAUAUUUGUCUCUGCUAGAUAUUUUGGGGUAUCGGGGUUUAGCAUAAAAGGUUAUAAAACAAUAUACCCAGCCAAAACUAAAUAGUCUUUGUUUGUGUGACUUUUUUUGAUAAGACUAAUUUAAUGUUAGUUUAAUGAAAAUAGCUGAAUUUUCUGAGUUGUUGACAAAAUACCCAUGUAUUUAACUUUAAAAAUGUUCUUAGGUGAACAUCUGAUCUUCGCAGGCUAUAAAAAAGGUUAACAAGGAAAUAACUUGACAUGAUGACUAGCUUUGUCUAAUAUUUCAGUUUUCAGAAGUAAUCUAGAUAAAUUGUUUGAAAAAAUGAAAGAAUCAUGUACAUGUAAAUGGGAUAAAUGCUUGUAGCUGCAUUUUUUAAUGUAAUUUGAAAUCUUGAAGUUAUUUUGGAUUGAAUAAUAGAUGCUUUUUGGCCAUCUGGGUCACUUCCAAUUAAGAAAGGAUUAUGGGGCCGUGUACGGUGGCUCAGGCCUGUAAUCCCAGCACUUUGGGAGGCCAAGGCAGGCAGAUCACCUGAGAUCUGGAGUUCAAGACCAGCCUGGCCAACAUGAUGAAACCCCAUCUCCGCUAAAAAUACAAAAAUUAGCUGGGCAUGAUGGCGGGCACCUGUAAUCCCAGUUACUUGGAAGGCUGAGGCAGGAGAAUCACUUGAACCCAGGAGGCGGAGGUUGCAGUGAGCCAAAACCAUGCCAUUGCAUUCCAGCCUGAGUGACAAGAGCAAAACUCCAUCAAAAAAA
rnacentral:lncRNA from 1 species